rnacentral:rRNA from 1 species
CUACGGGACGCUGCAGUGGGGAAUAUUGCACAAUGGAGGAAACUCUGAUGCAGCAACGCCGCGUGGAGGAUGACACUUUUCGGUGUGUAAACUCCUUUUAUAUGUCAAGAAAAUGACGGUAGCAUAUGAAUAAGCACCGGCUAACUCCGUGCCAGCAGCCGCGGUAAUACGGAGGGUGCAAGCGUUACUCGGAAUCACUGGGCGUAAAGGACGCGUAGGCGGGUUGGAAAGUCAGGUGUGAAAUCCUACAGCUUAACUGUAGAAAUGCACUUGAAACUUCUAAUCUAGAGUAUGGGAGGGGGAGAUGGAAUUAGUGGUGUAGGGGUAAAAUCCGUAGAUAUCACUAGGAAUACCUAAAGCGAAGGCGAUCUCCUGGAACAUUACUGACGCUAAGGCGUGAAAGCGUGGGGAGCAAACAGGAUUAGAUACCCCAGUAGUC